rnacentral:lncRNA from 1 species
GCAAUAAUUAUUGGAAAAUUCUUUAUAUUCAGUUGAAAUUGUAUCUUAGUCCUGCCUCACUCCAGGAGUAGCACAAAAUGGCUUUGAUUGUCCUCUGCCGCUGUUUUGUAAUUGCUCUGUUUCAAGUUUGAGAUCUACUGGUUCUUCCAAUAAAGGUAACAGUAUCAGAAAAGGACAGACUGCCCUGUUGUGGAUGAACAUUUAUUCGUGGAUAAUUGCUAUAUACAGGUAUGUCAUAUAACCUGAUUGGCUGGCCUCAUAUCAUGUCAUGAGUACCACUCAAGGAUGUUGAGGC